UCAGAAAUCUACACGCAGACUGUGAAGAGGAUGCUAAGCCUGGAGCACAGCGGGGCAGGGUGAAAGACGUGGGACAUUGGCGGGCAUGGCAGAAGGCUAGGUAAGGAUAACAGCAAAGCUGGGGCCAAACCCACAGACCCGCCAUGGAGAAUCAUGACAGAUGAUGUGCCCCACAUGGCAGAGACCCUGUCAGUCCCGCCCCCCCUCCCUAACUGUGGAAACUUUGAGUGAGCCAGGUACAGGGAGCCCAUACAAUACACAGUGGGGAGAGGAGGCUGCCAAAGAAGAUGCAAACCAUGAAGCUAGUCAGGAGCUCCUGGAAACUCCACAAGAGUCAAAUUAGAUCUACCAGCUGCCUUUGGCAUGGUUACCUUAAAAGCUGCCCCUUCCACACUGGCUGAAUGUCUGAUUCACUUCAGGCAAAAAAGAAAAAAAGAAAGAAGCAGACUAUGAAAGAUAUAUGCCCUGUGAGAUUCUCCAGUCCUUUUACAGCUUUGAACAGUAAGGCUGGAAGGGCCAGGAGGACCAAGGACUGCUGCAGGAGAGACAAAUGAACCAAGAAGUGCAGCAGAAAGUGCACUGUGAUACUAUGGCUUUGCUCAGGACCAAACUGGAUCAAGGACGUUGCAGAACAGCAGAGACAGCAACAAGACGUGUCAAAGGCAGUGGCAGCAAAGCAGCAUCAGUGGAGGAAACUGGAGGUCGGCCCAUCUGAAUGCACCCCUGGACUUGGGCACUUUGCUCAUGUUGGACAACAACCAUGACUGGAGUACAGAUGAGAGAAAGAGAGAGUGGUAUGUUAAAGGUUGUCCUUUGUUGCAUGAAUGUUGGUCCUAGGAUAUUUGGCAGACAAGGUAAGAGAGGUAAUAUAUUUUAUAUGUUCCAAUUAAAGAUAUUAUCUUGGUGACCUUGCCUGUUAAUUCCUUGGAUGUCACUCCAUGAAGUAGGAAACUGAGACAAAGGACUACUGCUCAAGGAAAUGGGGAAUGGCUGUUUGCAUAAUUAAAUCAUUGUUGCUGUGUUCCUUCUCUCUUUAAGUUUUCUUUUGUUGUAUAUAGAUUCAGGGUAUAUCCACACUAUGACAUUAGGUUGAAUUGAUUGACGUUGACUUGUAGCAUCCAAGUUCCUCACUAUGCACAUGUAGUCAAUGGAGUGUGUUCCCACUGCCACAGCUAAUAACUCUAACAGCAAUGCACUGUGGAUAGCUACCUCACAGUUCCUGACACCCAUUUGUAUUCUGGGUUAGGCUCCCAAUGCCUGAUGGGACAAAAACAUUGUCAUGGGUACAUAUCAUCAGCUUUCCCCGAUGCACUUAUCUCCUCCCCUUCCUCCCUUCUUGAGAGCAAGGGAAAACAAUCUUUUCAUGCCCUCUUUUCCCUGGUUAUCCAUGCAGACACACUAGCACAGCAAGCAUGGACCCUACACUGCUGCAAAUUUCUGUGACCAGCAUUGCUAACAUCAUGGCAUUAUCCUGUAGUUUGUCCAGAGCCUAGCCAGGAGCCACCUGCACAAAGAAGAAUGUGAGAUGACCAUAUGCACAGACAUGCAGGAACCCACUGAGUGGAGCAAUUGGCAUAUGCUGGCAGCAGUCAGGCAUGUUGACACAGUGGAAUGCUGAUUCUGGUUCUGGGAAACAAGCACAGACUAUUAGGACUGCAUAGUUAGGCAGCUAUGGGAUGAUGAUCAGUGGCUGCAGAACUUCCACAUGCAUAAAACUACUUUCAUGGUUCCUUGUGAAUUGCUUCCCCCUACCCUGAAGCGCAGUCAUACCAGAAGGAGACCCGCUCUGGGUAUGUCUAUGCUACAGAGGAAGAUUGAAGCUGCUGCUGUUGAUCUUCCAGGGUUUG